GGAUGUGAGGGCGAUCUGGCUGCGACAUCUGUCACCCCAUUGAUCGCCAGGGUUGAUUCCGCUGAUCUGGCUGGCUAGGCGGGUGUCCCCCUCCUCCCUCACCGAUCCAUGUGCGUCCCUCCCGAAGCUGCGCGCUCGGUCGAAGAGGACGACCUUCCCCCCCCCGCCACCCCCGCCCCCCAGGAGAGGACCCGUCUUCGGUCAAGGGUAUACGAGUAGCUGCGCUCCCCUGCUAGAACCUCCAAACAAACUCACAAAUGUCACAGAGAUUUUGCUCAUUUUAAACAACAAGCCCAAGUAGUUAGCUUUUGUUCAUGGAGCGGGCUGAUU
rfam:Myotis lucifugus cont2.38488, whole genome shotgun sequence.